rnacentral:lncRNA from 1 species
CAAUAAUAAUAAUAAGGUGUACUUAUUCUUUUUGCUCCUAAUCGUUCUUUCUCAGGUUUGUACAUUGACCAAUCAGACAAAAUUCCAUGCCUGUCUAUGAGCUUCUCUGUUCCACAAGUUCUACACCUUCCCUGGGGAAGAUCAACCUCCUACCAGCAAUAGAAAGCCUUUCCUAUUGUUUUUUUUUCCUCUGUCUUGGGCAUGGAGUUGAACUCAGAGCCUCAGUUGAAUAAGCAUAUAUGGUCAAUUAUGCUCAGACAUAUAGGUUGUAAGUUGAGCAUGGGCUUCAAACUAUAAGCAGAGUUUCCUAGUGGGAAGUUACUAAAUAACCCACCUUCUAUAGAUAAAUAUUUUUCAGAGACCACAAGUCUACUCUCACACCAGUGAUUCUUGUAGCCAUUGAAUAUGGCUACAAGAAUCCUCCACUAUGGUACAAAAUGUUGUUGGGCCUUUCCGGUUCAUCUUAAGGUUUAGUGCACCACAAAAAUGGAACCCAUUCUAGCUUUCUGAUGCUUUCAUCAUUCACUCAAUCGCACAUUGGACAAAUAGAAAUUGACAGUUUACUGAGUGUCAGACAUUGAUCUGUGUGUCACCAGUAUCUAAUAUUAAAGCUAUUUUCUUAAGAGAAUUUUUUUUUUUUGGAUAUCAAACAAGAUAGGUCUCAGAAGUCAUCAUGAAGAAGUCUAAGAUUUAAAGGCAAAAGAAGAGGCUGAGCUUUGAAAAGAGGAUGUAGAUAGGUGAGAGGAAGACCAGGAGCAUGUUGGGGCAUAGAAGCCAAGGGAAGAGAAGGUCUCAGCAUUUUUAAAAUGUAGGUGAAAAGUCUAACAAGAAAAUAAAGAAUGGGAAACAGCCAUUAGAUAUAACGACCUAGAGAUCAUUGGGCACCUUAGUGAAAACCGUCUGGUGGUAUAAAUGAGAAUGGCAGUGAAUCCAGAUUGAAAGGUUCUGGGGGCAAUGGGAGAUGAAGAAGUAGACAUAGUGAGUAUAGACAGCACAUGGACAAGGCAAGGAGAGAGCAGGGCUGUGGAUGGUUCAUUUUGUGGUUGUGUGUAAGUGAAGAUUUGCACAUAUUUAAAAAUAAAUAAUAGGGAAAUAUAAAAUAAAAAUAAAUUAAAGGGAACCCUCUUUACACUUUUGGGAGGGAGUGAAUGUUACUCUCAUCAUUUUAAUUAUUUUGAUUCAGGGUCUCCUUAUUUAUUCUACCAAAAAUCUUUUUUUCCCUCUCUCUUUUUUUGUUUUUAAAUGGAAAUGUAUUUUUGAAUAUCUUUAUUCAGUAGAGAUAUGACAGAUUAUAUUUUAUUUUAUUUUAUUUUAUUUUAUUUUUUUUGGUCUUUUUGCUAUUUCUUUGGGCCGCUCCCGUGGCAUAUGGAGGUUCCCAGGAUAGGGGUCGAAUCGGAGCUGUAGCCACCAGCCUACGCCAGAGCCACAGCAAGGCGUGAUCAGAGCCGCGUCUGCAACCUACACCACAGCUCACAGCAACGCCGGAUCGUUAACCCACUAAGCAAGGGCAGGGACCGAACCCGCAACCUCAUGGUUCCUAGUCGGAUUCGUUAACCACUGCGCCACAACGGGAACUCCUUCCCUCUCUCUUUUUAAGGCUACACCCAAGGCACAUGAAAUUCCCAGGCUAGGGGUUGAAUCAGAGCUGCAGCUAUCAGCCUACAACACAGCCACAGCAACAUGGGAUCUGAGCCACGUCUGUGACCUGCGCCACAGCUCACGGCAAUGCCGGAUCCCUGACCCACUGAGCAAGGCCAGGGAUCGAACCCCAUCCUCAUGGAUACUAGUCAGGUUCAUCACUGCUGGGCCAACAAUGGGAACUCCUCUACCGAAAAUCUUUGAAUAAAUUGUUUCCCUUUAAUGGUGAUCCCCGAUUUGAAGGAGUAAGGGGGACCAUUUCAGUAAGACAAAUUCCAUACUCUCAAGAAGAGUAGUGGGGAGAAAAAUCUUUAAGUCCAAAUGACUUAUUAAGUGAUGAUUUGAAGAAAUAGAUAUCACACUAUGAGAUCAGAGAGGAGGGAGUAUUGAUUCAAAUUGGGUCAGUAGGAGUUCCCAUAGUGGCACAGCAGAAACAAAUGCAGCUAGUAUCCCUGAGGAUGCGGGUUUGACCCCUGGCCUCACUCAGUGGGUCUGGGAUCCUGCAUUGCUGUGGCUGUGAUGUAGGCUGAUAGCUGUAGCUCUGAUUUGACUCGUAGCCUGGGAACUCCAUAUGCUGUGGGUCUGGCCCUAAAAAGCUUCCCAGAGAUAUUUCUGUUUGAAAGACAAGUACAUUUUAUAGCCAAGAAUAGGACAAUUCUGGGAGAAGGAUAGAUGCCUGAGGGUACUGAGACUUCUAAAUAUAUUAGAUAUUCAGAAAUCGGAAGAAGGUGAAUUUAACUCAUGCAAAAUCCCUUUAUCUAGUGUGGAGGAAGGAGAUGUUUGGAAAGAAAGCAGACAAAAUGCUGUUAAUGCAGGCCUUUGUGACAUGAGCUAGGAAGUUGGACCUCAAACUUGAAAAAUCUGGGAAUUCAUUGAAAGAUUUCAGAAGAAUGACGCUAUCAUCAUCUUCAUUAUCAUUAUCUUCCUAAAAGUUAAUUUAUAUUGACGACUUACACUGCCCCAGGUACACUUUUAAGCACUAAACAGGCAUUAUUUCAUUUAAUCCUUUUAACCACCCACAGGAGUAGUAUGAAUUUUAUUUCAAGUUAGUAAUUUGGAAAUGAGUCUAUUGAUUGCAGAACUGAUGCUUGGAACUGCGUACCAGAAUCUUCACCAAUGCUGCUGAAUCUUCACAAAAGCCAUCCAUCUUUACUACCAUGUCCUCUCAAAGAUGGGUUCACUGGGGCCCUGCCUACUGCGUGACAUUGCUCCCUUCUACAGCAAAGUCUCACAUUUGAGCUUCUGGUUCCUAGAUUAUAUUCUUGUGCUCAAGUUAUCAGGAAGACUGGAAAGCCAGUGCGUUCCUGUCUUAGGGAGGCAAGAUUCAAAAUGAGGUACAUUCUCCAAACAGAAUAGCUUUUUUAGAAUAUUCUAAGAAACCACACUAUAACAACAAUUUUUUGUAAAAGAGUAAAUUUUUUUUUGUCUUUUUAGGGCCAGGGAUCAAAUCUGCAUCCUCAUGGAUACUAGUCAGAUUUGUUUUCUGCUGAGCCACGACAGGAACUGCAAAGAGUAAAAUAUUUUUAAAAAAUGUCUAUUUGGAGUCAGGUGGUGACUGUAAAUAGUCAGAUGUCUAUUUUGAUCCCAGGUGGGAUCCUAGUUCAGCCAUGUAGUAACUAACUAUGUGAUUUCUAAAAGUCACCUAGAUUUUAAGGCUUAACUUCUUCCUUUUCUAUAAAAUAAUUUUUAAUGACAUGAGGACUAGAUGUGGUAUAGAUAGGCAGGGGUAAAAGAGUGCUGAUUUUUAAAAGGCAACGAUUUCUGCAUUCUAGGGUCUAAGCUGAAAUCUACCUUGAGUAAGUCUUUCAUGUGAAUAUGUAGUGGCAUAGAAAUAAGGCUAAGACUUAGCCACUCUUCUUUUAGAAAAUAUGAAUAUAUGGGAGGUCCCAUCAUGGCUCAGUAGUUAACAAAUCCGACUAGGAACCAUGAAGUUGCAGGUUCAAUCCCUGGCCUCGUUCAGUGGGUUAAGGAUCCGGUGUUGCCAUGAGCUGUGCUGUAGGUCGCAGACAUGGCUCAGAUCCCGAGUUGCUGUGGCUCUGGUGUAGGCCAGCGGCUACAGCUCCGAUUUGACCGUCUAGCCUGGGAACCUCCAUAUGCUGCAGGAGCAGCCCUAAAAAAGGCAAAAAGACAAAAAAAAAAA